UGACCUCGAAUCAGGUUGGAAUACCCGCUGAACUUAAGCAUAUCAAUAAGCGGAGGA
rnacentral:rRNA from 1 species